UACGUAGGUGGCGAGCGUUAUCCGGAUUUAUUGGGCGUAAAGGGUGCGUAGGCGGUCAUUUAAGUUUGUGGUGAAAGCGUAGAGCUCAACUCUAUUAAGCCACAAAAACUGGACGGCUAGAGUGCAGCAGAGGCAAGUGGAAUUCCAUGUGGAGCGGUAAAAUGUGUAGAUAUAUGGAGGAACACCAGUGGCGAAGGCGGCUUGCUGGGCUGUAACUGACGCUGAGGCACGAAAGCGUGGGGAGC
rnacentral:rRNA from 1 species